GCCAGGCGCAGGGGCGCACACCUGUAAUCCUAGUGACUCAGGAGGCUGAGGCAGGAGGAUGGUGAGUUCAAAGCCAGCCUUAGCAAAAGCAAGGCAUUAAACAACUCAGUGAGACCCUGUCUCUA
rnacentral:sRNA from 1 species